UCAAAACGCAUCUCAAUCAUGGGACUGCGGUGGGACUCUGGAAUAAGCACUUCAACACCAGUGAAAGUGAAGGCAGAAGAUGUUUCCAGGACACUGAAGCCAGGAUAGCUAUUGAAAGGCUUCGCUCCUUUGGUUUAUAUUUUCCUUUUGUUCUCUUAAAGCUAAAAGGUAGGGAGGAAAAACAAGCAAAAUUGUACAAAAGCAAUGGUGGCGGCCAGCAGCUUGUUUAGGGCAACAAUCCAUUGUUUCGGCUAUUCCUCCAGAUUCUUCUAAGACACGCUUUACAGAAGGUGGCAAAGAUAGACGGCAAGAACAUACCUUCUUUAACCCCUGUUAGUGGCUCUGCUCCUGCAUAGGAGUCAUGACAGAUUUAUGUUGCUGCAAUGAGUAUGAAUCAAAAAUGUCUUCAUCACUGAAAAGUCUGCAUCAACAUGGACGAUGUGUAACACAAGCUGGAACCUGGAGCUGUAUGUACCACUUGGAGGCAGCUUAGUGAAUCCAACAUCCUCCUCUCUGCAACUUGACUGGUAAACUUCUCCCUCAGGAGUUUGUUUCCAGAGUCUGGAGGAGAAGAGCUCUUCUGAGUCUGGAAAUUUCAACUC